rnacentral:rRNA from 1 species
UACGGGGGGGGCAAGCGUUGUUCGGAAUUACUGGGCGUAAAGGGCUCGUAGGUGGCCAACUAAGUCGGACGUGAAAUCCCUCAGCUUAACUGGGGAACUGCGUCCGAUACUGGAUGGCUUGAGUUUGGGAGAGGGAUGCGGAAUUCCAGGUGUAGCGGUGAAAUGCGUAGAUAUCUGGAGGAACACCGGUGGCGAAGGCGGCAUCCUGGACCAACACUGACACUGAGGAGCGAAAGCCAGGGGAGCAAAGCAGG